rnacentral:rRNA from 1 species
UACGGAGGGUGCAAGCGUUAUCCGGAAUCAUUGGGUUUAAAGGGUCCGCAGGCGGAUUUAUAAUUCAGUGGUGAAAGCCUACAGCUUAACUGUAGAACUGCCAUUGAUACUGUAAGUCUUGAAUUCGGUCGAAGUGGGCGGAAUGUGUAGUGUAGCGGUGAAAUGCAUAGAUAUUACACAGAACACCGAUAGCGAAGGCAGCUCACUAGGCCUGGAUUGACGCUCAGGGACGAAAGCGUGGGGAUCAAACAGGAUUAGAAACCCUUGUAGUCC